UACGUAGGUGGCAGCGUUGUCCGGAUUUACUGGGCGUAAAGAGCGCGCAGGCGGUCGUUCAAGUCGCGUGUGAAAGCCCCCGGCUCAACUGGGGAGGGUCACGCGAUACUGAUCGACUCGAAGGCAGGAGAGGGUAGUGGAAUUCCCGGUGUAGUGGUGAAAUGCGUAGAUAUCGGGAGGAACACCAGUGGCGAAGGCGACUACCUGGCCUGUUCUUGACGCUGAGGCGCGAAAGCUAGGGGAGCAAACGGG
rnacentral:rRNA from 1 species